GAUGGGUACAAGUGGCUUGUGCCUGUAAUCCCAUCUCCUUGGGAGGCUGAGACUGCAGAGUCAUAUGAGCUCAGGGAUUAUGGGCUACAGUGGGCCAUGCUGAUCAGGUGUCUGUACUAAGGUCAGCAACAAUAUGGUGACCUGUGGGAAGCUGUAGGUUACCAGGUUGUGUAAGAAGGGGUGAACCAGCCCAGGUCAGAAAUGGAGCAAGUCAAAGCUCCUGUGCUGAGAGGUAGUGGGAUUGCACCUGUGGUUGGUUCCUGUAGCCCAGCCUGAGUGAGACACAGUCUCU
rnacentral:SRP_RNA from 1 species